GGCCUCGCGUUACGUCAGUCUAUGAUCGUGCUACGGCUACAGUACGGUCGUACUACGCCCUACGACUACCUACGUGGUUCGCAUACACGGCCGGACACGUAACCGUCGACCCACGCGCCAUUGUCUUCCUUUUCGGAGACGUUGCCUGACGUAAGGAAAGUCUUUAACUGAUGUAAGAGAGAGAGAGAGAGAGAGAGAGAGAGAGAGAGAGCAGGAGAGAUAUACGCUCACAGAUACUCGAUUUCAUUGAUAGGAAGAUUAUCUUCGUUCUUAUAAACGUUUGGGCAUCAUUCGAGAAUAUCGUAUUCUCGUGAAUGUACAUUCGAGAAUAUUGGGACGUUGGAAGAUGGAUUAAAUGGUGGCGGUGAAAAUGUUGGUAAAAUAGGAUCUGUUAAGGUAUAUUCGAUAGAUGGUUAUAGUCGAUCGAUCUCGUACGAUUGUGAAAGAAAUAAUUUCAUUUGAAAGGACGAAAGUCCCUCGGACGAAGAAACGAACGGAGGAACGAAUUUGCGAUGAUCAUCGGCUAAAAAGUUCCCUCAGCUUGACGUCGAACUGUGUUCGGAUGGCAUCGGAUCUGAUUGGGGGGGACUCGAUCCGAAUUUAAGUUCCAUUCCGAGGAGGUCUCAAUUUCGGCCAUUUACUCGAACUUCAUCGGAUCAAAGUGAAACUUGGCUCGAAGCUGAUUCCUUUCGACGAUAGUUCCGACCCGUUUAUCUGCCGAUCGAAUUCCGUACGCUUCUACGUUCUAGCUAGCUACGAACGUUUGCAAGGUUUGGAUUCCUUUCCUUGGCAAGCGCUAGAAUUAGAAAGCGCGUCCCGCUAAAAGAUCCUUGAACCAUCUCCUAUCUCUCCCUUUUUAUCCUCCCCUUCGAUUUUGACGCGAGCCUGAAGAUUUCAUUCGUAAAAAUGUUACAUAUUCUACUAUCUCGGUUAGCAGUCUCCAGAAAAUCGUUUUAUCCUUUACUUCUCUGCUUACGCGAAUAUAUUACUUUUCAUUGUUAUCAUCAAUUAUUGUCAAUAAUUUUACAUACACGUAAUCUUAUGAAAUCAAAUUGGAAAUAUUAAUCGAUUUUAGUUAUGCAAUUAUUUUGAUGAUACGUCAAUAUGAUAUAACAAUCUUUGUAUUAACGAUAAAAUAAAAAAUAUACAAAUAAUAAAGAAUUCAAUUAUUGCACGCUAACGGAACUCUUCUUACGGAUGCCAAAUAUAAUCGAUACGUCUGAACCGAAAAGGGUUAAAGGAAAUCGAAAAAUCUUUCUAAGUAAA
rnacentral:lncRNA from 1 species